rnacentral:rRNA from 1 species
AUUAACGCUGGCAGAGUGCAUAACACAUGCAAGUCGAGCGAGGGUGGCAGCGUAUCGCGCCCUAGCGGCAGACGAGUGAGUAACACGUAAGCAACCUGCCCUUGAAUGGUGAACAACCAGCCGAAAGGUUGGCUAAUACGCCGUAUAAUCCUCUGGAGGCAUCUUCUAGGGAUGAUAGGCCCGCAAGGGCCGUUCAAGGAGGGGCUUGCGUUCCAUCAGCUUGUUGGCGGUGUAACGGACCACCAAGGCUAUGACGGGUACCCGGCCUGAAAGGGGGGACGGGCACGAAGGCACUGAGACACGGGCCUUACUCCUACGGGAGGCAGCAGUGGGGAAUUUUGGACAAUGGGGGAAACCCUGAUCCAGCAACUCUGCGUGAGGGACGAAGUUCUUCGGAAUGUAAACCUCUUUUAUUGGGGACGAAGGCCCGCAAGGGCUUGACGGUACCCAGUGAAUAAGCCACGGCUAACUAUGU